rnacentral:lncRNA from 1 species
AUUCAGAUUUAUUCAUUUUUGGCGAAUUACCAGUCCAAUUCGAUUGGAAUCGAGCCAAUGAAAAGUGGCUUUUGAUUUCUUUAUAACUUCGGGUUUGUUCGUUUUUGUAGUAUUUCUAGUCUAAUUCGAUUGGAAUCAAGCCAAAGAAUACUGGUUUUUCAUUUCAUGAUAACUUCGUGUUUGUUCGUUUUUGGCGAAUUGCUAGUCUAAAUCGAUCGGAAUCGAGCUAAUGAAAAGUUGAGUUUGAUUUCAUGAUAACUUCGAGUUUGUUCAUUUUUGGCGAAUUGCUAGUCUAAUACGAUUGGAAUCGAGUCAAUGAAAAGUGGUUUUCCAUUUCAUGAUAACUUCGGGUUUGUUCGUUUUUGGCGAAUUACGAGUCCAAUUCGAUUGGAAUCGAGCAAGUGAAAAGUGGAUUUUGAUUUCAUGAUAACUUCGAUUUGUUCGUUUUUGGCGAAUUGCGAUCUAAUUCGAUUGGAAUCGAGCCAAUGAAAAGUGGCUUUUGAUUUCAUGAUAACUUUGGGUUUGUUCAUUUUUGGCGAAUUGCAAGUCUAAAUCAAUUGGAAUCAUGCAAGUGAAAAGUGUCUUUUGAUUUCAUGAUAUCUUCAGUUUAUUCAUUUUUUGCGAAUUGUUAUCUAAUUCGAUUAGGAUCGGGCCAAUGAAAAGUGGCUUUUUAUUUCAUGAUAACUUCGGGUUUGUUCGUUUUUGACGUAUUGCUUGUCUAAUUCGAUUGGAAUCAAGCCAAAGAAAAAUGGUUUUUCAUUUCAUGAUAACUUCGUGUUUGAUCAUUUUUGACGAUUUGCGAGUCUAAAUCGAUUGGAAUCGAGCUAAUGAAAAGAUGAUUUUGAUUUCAUCAUAACUUGGGCUUUGUUCAUUUUUGGCGAAUUGCUAUCCUAAUUCGAUUGGAAUCGAGCCAAUGAAAAGAGGUUUUUCAUUUAAUGAUAACUUCGGGAUUUUUCAUUUUUGGCGAAUUGCUAGUCCGAUUUGAUUGGAAUUGAGCCAAUGAAAAGUGGCUUUUGAUUUCAUGAUAACUUCGAGUUUGUUCAUUUUUGGCAAAUUGCUAGUCCAAUUCG